rnacentral:lncRNA from 1 species
GCGGCGCGUUCCCGCCCGCGCGGCCCGGUGGCGCCCCUGGGCCCGCGCUCGUGCGGCAGUCUCCCGGCCCGCCAGCAGCCGGGGGCCGGCGCAGGGGAGGCUCGAGACUUCGGGUCUCUCGGAACACGGCGCUGCCCGGAGUGGCAGCCUGGGCUCCGCGCGUUCUGCUAGAAGCCGGGAGGGCUCUGGGCAUCCCACGAACAGCCUGGAGAAACCGGGGACUCGUUCAUACUGUGAAGAUGCAAUGAGAGGCUGGGAUGGCUGCAAGCCUCGGACGGCCCAUUGGUCCCAACUGGCCUCAUACAGAAAGCAAACCUUCAGCCUGAUUAAUACAAGAGGGGGACCAGGAAACCGAAGACAGCAAAACAAGGCAGAGAAGGCCUUGAGUCACAAAAGAAGCUACCUCACCAACGCUCAGGUUCCAAGAGCACCUGGCUCCCAGACUGCAGUCCACAUGGACAAUCUGAGUCCCCUUUCUGGCCUUCGUGGGCCAACCUGUCUUUGACUCAUCCCAGAUCCUGUGCUAUGCUUCAAGAGCAUGACCUGCGUGAAGACCCUGCGGUGCACAUACUCUAGAUGAUGUGGAGCACUUCGUAUUCCCAAGAGGGUACCCCUGUUACAGCAGUUAUCCAGACAGGCCGAUAUGUGGGUUUUCUGUAAUAAUUUGGUAGAUGAAGGGAAUCAGUCUACUGAACUAUUUAGAGGAGGCUAAAACACAUCUGAAUUUUGUAUUUGGAGGGGGUCAGGGUAUAUUUUGUUAACAAGGCUGAUCCACUGGGACUAAACCUCCUGCUUGUUGUAGACGUACCUGGGCCACAGAACGGCUGUAGGAAGACCAGCUUGCCAAAAUGAACAUCCUAAAUCAAAUUGCUGCCUGUGAGUUUCCAAUUGAUUUACACGGUGACAGGAUUAACUCAAUCACAAAAGUCCCAGCCCUCUGAGUUGAGAUAGGAUCUGUAAUAAAACUUGCCUCGUCUUCCUGCAGAGAGGGGAUUUCAUUACUCACUCAUCCCCACUCUCCAGAUGUCCAGAUGGCCCUGAGGUGCACACAGCUCCCAGGCUGGGAGUGAGUGUGUGUAUGGGGGGUGGGGGGUGGGGCGGGGCGUGUGGGGGGGUGCUUCUUCUCUAGAUUGACGUCGGCCAGGCUGGGCAGGGACAGGACAGGGACUGGAAAGGUGAUUGGAGGUGGCCUUGUCUCAGAAGUUAGAAAAUAUCAUCCAGAGAUGAUUUUAAUGACAUCUUCCCAAACAGAAGAAAAGAUGUUAAGGAGUGUUAAGAUGUGUUAAUGGAAUUGUAUUCUUAUGCCUACCCCUGGUCCCUGUACAGCAAGAGCAGGGCUGCCUAGUUGGGCUACAGUGUGCCCCUAAUUCAAGGCUUCUGUUGCAGUUAUUCAUGUGCUUGUCUCAUGUGGUCCUCAAAAACAGGACAUGUGCCUGUCCAUUGUCAUAUCUCCUAUCAUGACAAUAGCAUACCCUUAAUGUUAUGUACUCUAAAUAUGUAUUUCUUGAAAAAUUUUUCACCUCUGUAAAAGAAAUUAUAAAAACUUGAACUCGG